rnacentral:rRNA from 1 species
AAGAUCUCAAAUAAGGUAAGAGUACCCGCUGAACUUAAGCAUAUUAAUAAGCGGAGGAAAAGAAACUAACAAGGAUUCCCCUAGUAACUGCGAGUGAAGCGGGAAAAGCUCAACGUUAAAAUCGGGUGUGGGCAAGCGCCUCAUCGAAUUGUAAUCUAAAGAUGCAACGUCAGCGAUGACCUCGGUAUAAAUCCUUUGGAAAAGGGUAUCAUAGAGGGUGAGAAUCCCGUCUUUGACCGAGAGUUCGUCGCGUACGACUUGUAUUCCAAGAGUCGAGGUUGUUUGGGAUUGCACCUCUAAAUGGGUGGUAAAUUUCAUCUAAAGCUAAAUAUCAACGAGAGACCGAUAGCGAACAAGUMCCGUGAGGGAAAGAUGAAAAGAACUUUGWAAAGAGAGUUAAAAAGUACUUGAAAUUGUUAAGAGGGAAGCGAUGGCAACCAGUCGUGCGGCGUUGGCUUACGUUUAUUAGUGGGUGUCUUUGGCUGGUCGCAGGUUCUUUACGGUCCUUUGCGGCUGGUCGGUUCAGGCAUUCGUUGGUGGAUUCGGCCGGCGUCGUGGGUCAGCAUCAGUUUGAUCUGUGGGAGAAUACCUGGAGGAAGAUAGGGGCUGCUCGAAAGAGUAUCUCUGUUAUAGACUCUGGGCUAUACCAUGGGUUAGACUGAGGUCGAGCGUGUCUUC